GGUGGCACAGCGGCUUCAUCUUUUUUUUUCUCGGGGCAGCGCUCAUCCUGGGCAUGUGAGGAAAUCAUUCUGCACACACAGAGAUGUGACUAAACCUCAUGGCAGCAGUGAUAAAGCGACAUUGAUUUCAGGUUCCUCCCCCGGCCCGGAGAGGAAGUGACAGACCCGAGAUGGAGGGAGCAACGUCUAGAGACCUGACGACGGUCCCGCAGAAUGAUCUGGAUGACACCACCUGACGUGGUUAUGUGCAGAGGAAGAGAGAGAGGAGUGGACAGGUGGAGAGAGAGAUGUUGGAUGCCUCUGUGGACUCUCUUCUUCCUUAUGCUGAUAUACUUUUCCUGGACAAAGUGGACAAUGUGGUUGCACUCCAAAGGAAGACGGAAGAGAUGGACCAAACGUAAAAAUCCACAGGGACGCUUUAAAAGCUCAAACUCUUCCUUUCAAAUUUAUUUCGCAUUUAGUUUUCCUCUUGAUAAUAUACUUGUCCUGAACAUAUUCCACAUUCCAGAAGAUUGGAGGAUGGGCGAUACUUAUUGAACAGUGCCCUUGACACCCCCUGAGACAUCUGAGGACAUUAGCGUCGAACUGAAUUAUCGCCAUCUCGUGGAUGAAAAAGAGCCUUUCUAAUGCUCCCUAUCAUAUCGCUCUUGAGCAAUCAAUGCAUUUAUUAAUUCAUGUAGCCCGCAUCUCCUUGCAUUUGCCCAUUGAUCUUCGGCUCUUAGAAUGAACGCAGCAUUCAAUUUCAA